GGGCGCUUAGCUCAGCUGGGAGAGCACCUGCCUUACAAGCAGGGGGUCACAGGUUCGAGCCCUGUAGCGCCCA
rnacentral:tRNA from 2 species